AUGGCCUUCAUCAGAGUUCAUACCAUGAGGCUUGACUAUAAGUAUUAGCCUAUCUCUUCAUAGUUACAUACAAACCCGCCAUUAAAAGAAGUCAUUUUGUUAUCUCAAGCUUACUCCUCUUAAUAAUUAAACAUCAAUUGAAAACUGAUUAUAGAUAUAUAUACAAGUUAAUAUCUAAAAUGAAUCCAGAAGAAAAAAAAAAUCUCGAUUUCAUCACAGCAACUCUAGAUGGUUUGAAAAUUGACAAUGAUGAACCGAAUAUUGACAAAAAAGUUGAAGAGUGUUGAAGAAUUAGAAUACCAAAUAGAGGAGCUCCAAAAUAACUUGGAAUUUCAUAAAAGUAAUGUAAAAAAUUUCAACGAAAAUAAAUAUAAAUUUGUCGAGCUAGUGGUUAGAGGACGUGGACUUGGACGUGGUCGUGGAUAUCGA